rnacentral:rRNA from 1 species
AUUGAACGCUGGCGGCAGGCCUAACACAUGCAAGUCGAACGAGUGGCGGACGGGUGAGUAAUGUCUGGGAAACUGCCUGAUGGAGGGGGAUAACUACUGGAAACGGUAGCUAAUACCGCAUCCCAUCGGAUGUGACCAGAUGGGAGUAGCUAGUAGGUGGGGUUACGGCUCACCUAGGCGACGAUCCCUAGCUGGUCUGAGAGGAUGACCAGCCGCACUGGAACUUGGACACGGUCCAGACUCCUACGGGAGGCAGCAGUGGGGAAUAUUGCACAAUGGGCGCAAGCAUGAUGCAGCCAGGCCGCGUGUAUGAAGAAGGCCUUCGGGUUGUAAAGUACUUUCAGCGGGGAGGCGUUACCCGCAGAAGAAGCACCGGCUAACUCCGUGCCAGCAGCCGCGGUAAUUC